GACGAACGCUGGCGGCGUGGAUUAGGCAUGCAAGUCGAACGGUAGAGUGCUUUCGGGCACUUGAGAGUGGCGAACGGGUGAGUAACACGUAGGUAAUCUACCCUCAAAUCGGGGACAACCCAGGGAAACUUGGGCUAAUACCGGAUGAGUGCACUUUCGGGUGUAUAAAAGGUGGCAGUAAUGCUGUUGUUUGAGGAUGAGCCUGCGCUCUAUUAGUUAGUUGGUGAGGUAACGGCUCACCAAGGCGAUGAUAGAUAGGCGGCCUUAACGGGUGGUCGCCCACACUGGGAUUGAGAUACGGCCCAGACUCCUACGGGAGGCUG
rnacentral:rRNA from 1 species